GGCCCGACCCAUUCAGGAGUUUGGCCUGGCCAGGUUUAAAAGCAACCAAGCUAAAGCCAUGAAGGGGCUGGACUACGCUCUGUCCAGGAUCCACACUGAAGCUCCUCCCCUUCUCCAUGACAACCAGGGAGC